UACAGAGGGGGCAAGCGUUGUUCGGAAUUACUGGGCGUAAAGGGCGCGUAGGCGGCCUGUUAAGUCGGACGUGAAAUCCCUCGGCUCAACCGGGGAACUGCGUCCGAUACUGGCGGGCUUGAAUUCGGGAGAGGGAUGUGGAAUUCCAGGUGUAGCGGUGAAAUGCGUAGAUAUCUGGAGGAACACCGAUUGCGAAGGCAGCUCGCUGGGACGUUACUGACGCUGAGACGCGAAAGCGUGGGGAGCAAACAGG
rnacentral:rRNA from 1 species